UACGUAGGGUGCGAGCGUUAAUCGGAAUUACUGGGCGUAAAGCGUGCGCAGGCGGUUUUGUAAGACUGUCGUGAAAUCCCCGGGCUCAACCUGGGAAUGGCGAUGGUGACUGCAAGGCUAGAGUUUGGCAGAGGGGGGUAGAAUUCCACGUGUAGCAGUGAAAUGCAUAGAUAUCAGGAGGAAUACCGAUGGCGAAGGCAGGUCUCUGGGCUGACACUGACGCUCAUGCACGAAAGCGUGGGGAGCAAACAGG
rnacentral:rRNA from 1 species